rnacentral:rRNA from 1 species
AUUGAACGCUGGCGGCAUGCCUUACACAUGCAAGUCGAACGGUAACAGGUCUUCGGAUGCUGACGAGUGGCGAACGGGUGAGUAAUACAUCGGAACGUGCCUAGUAGUGGGGGAUAACUACUCGAAAGAGUGGCUAAUACCGCAUGAGAUCUACGGAUGAAAGCAGGGGAUCGCAAGACCUUGUGCUACUAGAGCGGCCGAUGGCAGAUUAGGUAGUUGGUGGGAUAAAAGCUUACCAAGCCGACGAUCUGUAGCUGGUCUGAGAGGACGAUCAGCCACACUGGGACUGAGACACGGCCCAGACUCCUACGGGAGGCAGCAGUGGGGAAUUUUGAACAAUGGGCGCAAGCCUGAUCCAGCAAUGCCGCGUGCAGGAAGAAGGCCUUCGGGUUGUAAACUGCUUUUGUCAGGGAAGAAAUCUUCUGGGCUAAUACCCCGGGAGGAUGACGGUACCUGAAGAAUAAGCACCGGCUAACUACGUGCCAGCCGCCGCGGUAA